AUGUUCAAUUUUGUUGAGCCGCUGUCCUAUUUUAUUGGAAAAUAUUCACCUUUAACAAUAAAUGAUUUUUUUGUUUUUUCAAACCAAAAUAAUAAAAAAACUGACUGGCAACUAGUAGCACAUAUUCAAAGUGGGCUCUUUUUUUCUGAGGCCAUCCUCAGCCCAUCCACACUCUGCCGGCGGUCUGCAUCGUAUCUGUACUUUCUCUCCGCCGGCUGUUGUGAGUGGAGACGACGUCUCCCCUCCGUGGCCGGCCACCACCACCCCCCCUCCAAGGCCGGGGCCGAGCCGCCUUGUGCUGCGGCUGCUGGCGGCCGGCGGUGCAGCGGUUCUCGCGAGCUCAGCACCACCGCUCGCCGGUCGGCCGGCCUCCCGUGA
rnacentral:rRNA from 1 species